UUUUUUCACUCUUUUGGUCUUUUGGAAAAUAUAAUUUGUGCUGUAUUUAGACCCCUCUACAACCAAAUUUGUUACUUGCACACAUAUAAAAAAUUGAGUUUUUAUAUCAAUAAUUAUAACAUCUUGGAUGUCAAUGAAAGGCGUAAAAGAAAAAAAUACAAUAGCCUUUCAAGACGUCAUAGUUAUUGUACUAAUAUACACAGGUAAACCUACAAAA
rnacentral:lncRNA from 1 species